rnacentral:rRNA from 1 species
ACACAUGCAGUCGAGCGGGGGCUUUCGGGCCCCAGCGGCGGACGGGUGAGUAACGCGUGGGCAACCUGCCCUGUUCACCGGGACAACAGCUGGAAACGGCUGCUAAUACCGGAUAAGCCGGCGAGAGGGCAUCCUUUUGCCGGAAAAGAAUUUCGGAACAGGAGGGGCUCGCGUCCGAUUAGCUAGUUGGCGAGGUAACGGCCCGCCAAGGCGACGAUCGGUAGCCGGCCUGAGAGGGCGAACGGCCACAUUGGGACUGAGACACGGCCCAAACUCCUACGGGAGGCAGCAGUGGGGAAUAUUGCGCAAUGGGGGAAACCCUGACGCAGCAACGCCGCGUGAAGGAAGAAGGCCUUCGGGUUGUAAACUUCAAUCUCCGGGGACGACAAAAGACGGUACCCGGGUCGAAGCGCCGGCUAAAUACGUGCCAGCAGCCGCGGUAAUACGUAUGGCGCAAGCGUUAUCCGGAAUUACUGGGCGUAAAGGGUGAGUAGGCGGCCUUUUAAGUCAUGCGUGAAAUCCCCGGGCCCAACCCGGGAACCGCGCAAGAAACUGGAAGGCUGGAGUGCAGGAGAGGCAAGCGGAAUUCCCAGUGUAGCGGUGAAAUGCGUAGAUAUUGGGAAGAACACCAGUGGCGAAGGCGGCUUGCUGGACUGUGACUGACGCUGAGUCACGAAAGCGUGGGGAGCGAACAGGAUUAGAUACCCUGGUAGUCCACGCCGUAAACGAUGAGCGCUAGGUGUCGGGGCGAGAGCCUCGGUGCCGGAGCAAACGCAGUAAGCGCUCCGCCUGGGGAGUACGGUCGCAAGGCUGAAACUCAAGGAAUUGACGGGG